UACGGAGGGUGCGAGCGUUGUUCGGAAUCACUGGGCGUAAAGCGCGUGUAGGCGGCCCACUAAGUCUGAUGUGAAAGCCCGGGGCUCACCCCCGGAAGUGCAUUGGAAACUGGUGGACUCGAGUCCCGGAGAGGAGAGUGGAUUUCCUGGUGUAGCGGUGAAAUGCGUAGAUAUCAGGAGGAACACCGGUGGCGAAGGCGGCUCUCUGGACGGUGACUGACGCUGAGACGCGAAAGCGUGGGGAGCAAACAGG
rnacentral:rRNA from 1 species